rnacentral:tRNA from 1 species
UAGAGAAAUAGGAAUUGAACCUAUAACUAAGAGAUCAAAACUCUCCGUAAUUCCAUUU